CCUGUUGCCUUUCUGCACUUCGUCACGCACCUCUGCCUCUCUCUAUCUCCAUUCUUUUCUCCUCAGCAACUCCGCAUCUCGCGCUUGGGGUUUCGCCGGCGGGAGGCGACUCCCGGACAGCGCCGACCGCAUGCAGUCGGCAAGGAGGCUGGCACCCGUAGCCAUCGCCAUCAGCGGCGGCGGCGACGACGGUGGGAAGCGGAGCUCCGCACGGAUCUGCCGGCGCACUUGACCCAGCCUCACGCCGCCUCGAGCGCGAUGGGCACCGACCGCUUCCCUUCCUGGGCGGGCACAUCGGGGAGGAUGUGGCAACUCCGGUAGAAGCCUGUGCCCAGCAGGGGCCAUCGGUGGCGGAGGCCUCGCGAGUCAGACCCGGGAAGGAGGGGGGCCUGGUGAAAAUCUCGCGGCUCUGAGAGUGUCAUGGCCGCCCUUCGAGUUCCAGCUGCAGGCAACUUCAUCGACGCCGUCGACUCCCUCAGCCAUGCGCUCAAGAUCAGGUCACCAGAUAUUGAACAUGGGUGCAGAUUGGAAGGCAUUUUGAGUAAUUAGAAGCAAAUACAGGCACUUGGUAGUACAAAUUGAGUGCGUUUUGCGAUUUCUGGUUUACAUAGUUCCGUAGUGAAAGUAGUAGACAUAUACAUGUAACUAUGUAGGUCUGAAAACUAUGUUCUAAGAUGCAUGAUGAUGCAUGACACUUCUGCAUUCAUUUUUUUGUCAUGGGGGUGAUGAUGUGUGUUCUGAAGUGCUUGACGAUUUUCUAUCAAUUGCUUGGUGAAUAUCUUUUUGUUCCACGAUGCCU